rnacentral:rRNA from 1 species
AUUGAACGCUGGCGGCAUGCCUUACACAUGCAAGUCGAACGGUAACAGGUCUUCGGAUGCUGACGAGUGGCGAACGGGUGAGUAAUACAUCGGAACGUGCCUAGUAGUGGGGGAUAACUACUCGAAAGAGUGGCUAAUACCGCAUGAGAUCUACGGAUGAAAGCAGGGGAUCGCAAGGCCUUGUGCUACUAGAGCGGCCGAUGGCAGAUUAGGUAGUUGGUGGGAUAAAAGCUUACCAAGCCGACGAUCUGUAGCUGGUCUGAGAGGACGAUCAGCCACACUGGGACUGAGACACGGCCCAGACUCCUACGGGAGGCAGCAGUGGGGGAUUUUGGACAAUGGGCGCAAGCCUGAUCCAGCAAUGCCGCGUGCAGGAUGAAGGCCCUCGGGUUGUAACCUGCUUUUGUACGGAACGAAAAGCCCUGGGUUAAUACCCUGGGGUCAUGACGGUACCGUAAGAAUAAGCACCGGCUAACUACGUGCCAGCCGCCGCCAUAACAC